UACGUAGGUGGCGAGCGUUAUCCGGAAUUAUUGGGCGUAAAGAGCGCGCAGGUGGUUGAUUAAGUCUGAUGUGAAAGCCCACGGCUUAACCGUGGAGGGUCAUUGGAAACUGGUCGACUUGAGUGCAGAAGAGGGAAGUGGAAUUCCAUGUGUAGCGGUGAAAUGCGCAGAUAUCAGGAGGAACACCAAUUGCGAAGGCAGCUCGCUGGGACGUUACUGACGCUGAGACGCGAAAGCGUGGGGAGCAAACAGG
rnacentral:rRNA from 1 species